UACGUAGGGUGCGAGCGUUAAUCGGAAUUACUGGGCGUAAAGCGUGCGCAGGCGGUUCGCCAAGUCAGGUGUGAAAUCCCCGGGCUUAACCUGGGAAUUGCGCUUGAAACUAGCGAGCUUGAGUGUGGCAGAGGGGGGUGGAAUUCCACGUGUAGCAGUGAAAUGCGUAGAGAUCGGGAGGAACAUCAGUUGCGAAGGCGGCUCUCUGGACCAGUACUGACGCUGAGGCACGAAAGCGUGGGGAGCAAACAGG
rnacentral:rRNA from 1 species